rnacentral:rRNA from 1 species
AUACGGAAGGUCCGGGCGUUAUCCGGAUUUAUUGGGUUUAAAGGGAGCGCAGGCGGAGAUGCAAGCGUGACGUCAAAUUUCGGGGCUCAACCCCGUCUCGCGUCGCGAACUGCGUCCCUUGGUUGCGGGAAGGGGAGGCGGAACUCGUGGUGUAGCGGUGAAAUGCAUAGAUAUCACGAAGAACUCCGAUCGCGAAGGCAGCCUUCCGGCCCGUCAACGACGGUCAUGCUCGAAGGUGCGGGUAUCAAACAGGAUUAGAUACCCUGGUAGUCCGCACAGUAAACGAUGGACACCCGCGGUUUGGCCUGUAUGGCUGAGCCGCCAAGCGAAAGCGUUAAGUGUCCCACCUGGGGAGUACGCCGGCAACGGUGAAACUCAAAUGAAUUGACGGGG